CCUACGGGCGGCUGCAGUGGGGAAUAUUGGACAAUGGGGGGAACCCUGAUCCAGCCAUGCCGCGUGUGUGAAGAAGGCCCUCGGGUUGUAAAGCACUUUCAGUGAGGAAGAACGCCUGGUGGUUAAUACCCAUCAGGAAAGACAUCACUCACAGAAGAAGCACCGGCUAACUCCGUGCCAGCAGCCGCGGUAAUACGGAGGGUGCGAGCGUUAAUCGGAAUUACUGGGCGUAAAGCGCGCGUAGGUGGCUUGAUAAGCCGGUUGUGAAAGUCCCGGGCUCAACCUGGGAACGGCAUCCGGAACUGUCAAGCUAGAGUGCAGGAGAGGAAGGUAGAAUUCCCGGUGUAGCGGUGAAAUGCGUAGAGAUCGGGAGGAAUACCAGUGGCGAAGGCGGCCUUCUGGACUGACACUGACACUGAGGUGCGAAAGCGUGGGUAGCAAACAGGAUUAGAUACCCCAGUAGUC
rnacentral:rRNA from 1 species